rnacentral:rRNA from 1 species
GGGUCAGUAGGUUGGUCGUGCCACCGGUACGUACUGGUCUCACUGAUUCCUCCUUCCUGAAGAACCGUAAUGCCAUUAAUUUGGUGUUGCGGGGAAACAGGACUGUUACUUUUAAAAAAUUAGAGUGUUUAAAGCAGGCUAACGCUUGAAUACAUUAGCAUGGAAUAAUGAAAUAGGACGAUCGAUCCUAUUUUGUUGGUUUCUAGGAUUGACGUA